CUGGAAUUAUGUUUUAGCUCGCCGUAUCUCACCACGGCUUCAUUGAACGACAUCUCUUCAGUUUUUUGAAAGUUACCAACUUCAACAAUCCUCACUGUAGCAACUCACAGUCCCUUUUUCCCCAGUAAUUUCACCUCAAAUCCCGGUGUAACAAAAUCUUAUCAUCCCUCACAAGUUCUGAAACCGUGACACAACCGUUUUUCAAAUUUGACAUUGGCUACAACUUUCAGGACCUGUUACCGAGUUGCAUGGAAAUCAACCAUGCUAUGUUGCUCAUUGAGGACACACUGGCUUCGCAAAGACAAGUUUGUCGAUUUUCAGAGCUGAACCUUAGUUUGUUUUUCCUAUGAAUCUGACGCCGAUAAGAUGCAAGACAAUCAGAAUUGUCUCCAAUAUUGUGUAUGGGUCUUUUCCAUUACUAGUCCCAGAUCUAACGAAGUAAAAAGAUGCAAAAUUGUAGAUUCGAAGCAUCUGCUUGUAGUCCCUGUCCAGAUCAAAACCUGCAACGACAGCAACGGAUUGCAGGCCCUGCCUCGCUUUUUCCAGCCUUCUUCCUGAGCCGCACUUGGCGUUACCUUAGAUCACCGCCAGCACCGCACAACACGUCAUCUCCACGU
rnacentral:lncRNA from 1 species